rnacentral:tRNA from 1 species
GAGAAAGUAUUCAAGAACUGCUAAUUCAUGAUUCCAUGCCUAAUAACAUGGCUUUCUUA